ACGCUGGCGGCAGGCCUAACACAUGCAAGUCGAGCGGUAGAGAGAAGCUUGCUUCUCUUGAGAGCGGCGGACGGGUGAGUAAUGCCUAGGAAUCUGCCUGGUAGUGGGGGAUAACGUUCGGAAACGGACGCUAAUACCGCAUACGUCCUACGGGAGAAAGCAGGGGACCUUCGGGCCUUGCGCUAUCAGAUGAGCCUAGGUCGGAUUAGCUAGUUGGUGAGGUAAUGGCUCACCAAGGCGACGAUCCGUAACUGGUCUGAGAGGAUGAUCAGUCACACUGGAACUGAGACACGGUCCAGACUCCUACGGGAGGCAGCAGUGGGGAAUAUUGGACAAUGGGCGAAAGCCUGAUCCAGCCAUGCCGCGUGUGUGAAGAAGGUCUUCGGAUUGUAAAGCACUUUAAGUUGGGAGGAAGGGUUGUAGAUUAAUACUCUGCAAUUUUGACGUUACCGACAGAAUAAGCACCGGCUAACUCUGUGCCAGCAGCCGCGGUAAUACAGAGGGUNGCAAGCGUUAAUCGGAAUUACUGGGCGUAAAGCGCGCGUAGGUGGUUUGUUAAGUUGGAUGUGAAAUCCCCGGGCUCAACCUGGGAACUGCAUUCAAAACUGACUGACUAGAGUAUGGUAGAGGGUGGUGGAAUUUCCUGUGUAGCGGUGAAAUGCGUAGAUAUAGGAAGGAACACCAGUGGCGAAGGCGACCACCUGGACUAAUACUGACACUGAGGUGCGAAAGCGCGGGGAGCAAAC
rnacentral:rRNA from 1 species